rnacentral:rRNA from 1 species
UACGUAGGUGGCAAGCGUUAUCCGGAUUUAUUGGGCGUAAAGGGAACGCAGGCGGUCUUUUAAGUCUGAUGUGAAAGCCUUCGGCUUAACCGGAGUAGUGCAUUGGAAACUGGGAGACUUGAGUGCAGAAGAGGAGAGUGGAACUCCAUGUGUAGCGGUGAAAUGCGUAGAUAUAUGGAAGAACACCAGUUGCGAAAGCGGCUCUCUGGUCUGUAACUGACGCUGAGGUUCGAAAGCGUGGGUAGCAAACAGG